GUGGCAAGCGUUAUCCGGAAUUAUUGGGCGUAAAGCGCGCGUAGGCGGUUUUUUAAGUCUGAUGUGAAAGCCCACGGCUCAACCGUGGAGGGUCAUUGGAAACUGGAAAACUUGAGUGCAGAAGAGGAAAGUGGAACUCCAUGUGUAGCGGUGAAAUGCGCAGAGAUAUGGAGGAACACCAGUGGCGAAGGCGACUUUCUGGUCUGUAACUGACGCUGAUGUGCGAAAGCGUGGGGAUCA
rnacentral:rRNA from 1 species